CGUCAAGGAAAGUCGUUAUUUCGGUUGGCCACGCCUUCGAGAAGACCCAACAAUGAAUGACGUCUUAAAGUGAUUGCUUCUGCUUUGAUGAGAGGCUUGACGGAGUUUUUUUUUUUUUCCUCUUGUCUUGAAGUUUAAUCUCGAUCCAGCUGUAAACUAUCAUCCGUGUUUCACACGCUGGUGAUUCGUAAACGUGUGUGGUGUUUUAUUUACGUGACGGUGGCAAAGCCGAGAGGAACGCUCGCUCUCUCUUGGUUGUUUUGCUUCUGUUCGAAUCCCGACCCGGUUUUAAGAAGCCAGUACAAUGGCUUCGUCAUUUUUCCAAAGGAUGUUUUCCUUUUUUGGAAGUAAUACGAAGCCUGGUCCCACGUCAAAAAAGGAAAAUGGUGGACAACCAACAGACAAUUCCUGCAGACAGGUCAAAAACAACCUGAAAACAUCCCAGCAGUCCUUUAAGAAGACGAGUGCUGCGCCAAAGAGCAGUGGACAUCCCAAAGACAAUUCUUGGAGACAGAUCAAAAGCAACCUGAAAACGGCCCAGCAGUCCUCAAAGAAUACUCGUGCUGUGCCAAAGAGCAGUGCAUUCUCAGCCACCUUGCUCUAUGGUGACGAAAGUCGUAUCCUCGGUUACCUUGCUGGGGACUGAAGCCGCCACGUUUUUGGCCUGCUCAAUCAUUCCUCGACUUGGAACAUGCCACAAUGAUUUCUUUCCAUGCCACAAUGACACAAUUUUAUUUUAUUUUUCACUUUCCUCACUCACUUUAUCGAAUUCCUGAUUAUCGUACCUCUGAAUCGCUGGGUACAUUGUGAUGCUUGUAAAUGCCUAAGGGAAGCCAGCAUUUAUGGCUUUAUUUCAUUUGCGCAUGUGCCAUAACUUCAAUAAUCACUUAAACUAAGCUGAAUUACAAGAAUAGAGCUCCAUAUUUGAUCUUUGCAGCAACUCCAACUGCUAAAAUGUGUUAAUUUGUCCAUUUCUGACAUUGCUUGGGCGUCUCCGAGAGGUUUUUGUUAUGACGGAUCAUUGCUUGUCAAGCCAGCCUUUCUUCAUCAACUGUUUCGUUGGAGUGCUUCCAUGAGUGCUUUUGCCACUUGGUGAACGUUCUGCAAUAUUCGCACUGUUACAAAAUACUGUGUAUUGAUUGACUUGAACAAUGUUCAGGGCCCAUUCAGCAGUGUUGGCCCCAUGUUGUUCUGUGGUGUAUCAGGCUCACUGAAAAUGUGACAAUUUUUGUUAAACCAAGUUUCCCAUUUUUGUGCAAUCUUCUUUCAUGAUACGAGCCAUCACUUCAGCAUCAAUAAAGACAAACAAAAAAAUGGAAGGUUUCAUAAACAUCAUGGCAGGAUAGCCGAGAGGUACGGUACGCAUGCUUGCUCUUAGCCGCCAAGCCUGGGUUUGAAUCCCAACCCAGCAAAAAAGUGUCAUCCCAUUGUUUCACAGGCAGGAUGAUUCAUAAAUGUGUGUGUCGUUCAACUGGAUGUCACAUUUGACAGAAAGCCCCCCCCCCGCCUGGCCACCCCACUUCCUGUCUCACCCCUCUUCCUGUCUCACCCCUCUGCCUGUCUCACCCCUCUGCCUGUCUCACCCCUCUGCCUGUCUCACCCCUCUGCCUGUCUCACCCCUCUGCCUGUCUCACCCCU
ensembl:lincRNA